UGUCAUACAUCUCAAAUAACAUUCCAAGCAUUGGUUUAACCUCUCAGUUUGACCAUCAAAUUGAGGGUGAUAAGCAGUGGAAAAAUUCAAAGAAGUCCCCAUCAACUUAAAAAACUCCUUCCAAAAAAGACUAGUGAAGACUUUGUCUCUGUCUAAAAUUAUUGAAAGAGGCAUAUCGUGAAGCUUAAAAAUGUUAUCAAGAAAUAAUUUGGCUACUGAUGUAGUUGAGUAUUGAUGAGAAAUAGCAAAAAAAUGUCCAUAUUUUGUAAAUCUACAGACAACCACCAGAAUGACUUUCUUCCCUCCAGAUUUGGGCAACUGCUCGAUGAAAUCCAUUGAAAUAUGCUGCCAA
rnacentral:misc_RNA from 1 species